rnacentral:misc_RNA from 1 species
AAGACUAUAGACCUGCGGAGUACCUGCGGAGGGAUCAUUACAGUGUUUUGUUGUGGCCUGCCCUCCCGAGGGCAGUGCCCCGAAACCCCACCCUUGAUUACUGUACCGUCCGUUGCUUCGGCGGGCUGUGCCCGCCGGAGGACAAUCUGAACUCUUUGUGAUAUUCGGCCGUCUGAGUGAUUUUUGAAUCGUUAAAACUUUUAACAACGGAUCUCU